rnacentral:rRNA from 1 species
CAGCAGCCGCGGGAAUACAGAGGGUGCAAGCGUUAAUCGGAAUUACUGGGCGUAAAGCGCGCGUAGGUGGUUCGCCAAGUUGGAUGUGAAAUCCCCGGGCUCAACCUGGGAACUGCAUCCAAAACUGGCGAGCUAGAGUAUGGUAGAGGGUGGUGGAAUUUCCUGUGUAGCGGUGAAAUGCGUAGAUAUAGGAAGGAACAUCAGUGGCGAAGGCGACCACCUGGACUGAUACUGACACUGAGGUGCGAAAGCGUGGGGAGCAAACAGGAUUAGAUACCCCGGUAGUCCCUGUCUCUUAUAU